CAGCAUCUGUGGAGGGAGAAACAGGGUUAACGUUUCGAGUCCGUAUGACCCUUCUUCACUGGCCUUCUUGAGAUGCUUCUCAGUAAUAUUUCCCAUUUAUGGCCCACAAGCUUUGAAAAAGAAGACUUAAAAGCAUGGUGUCACCAAAUUGUAUCUUGUUGAUUGCCCUCGCUGCUUUCUUCACCACCACCCGACUACCGUAAUGGUUCCUGCUGUCUGGGCCUAGUCUCAAAGGCUUCAUGAUAAAGCAGUGCAGGGUUCAUGAUGAAGCCACAAUAAAUUGUGUCCAUGAGGAGUCUAUCUAAAGUCCAAUCGCCCCUUCCAAAUUUGGACUAAGCAAAAGGUGCCGGUGCUAUCAUUGCUGGACCUAACCCUUCAUGUCUCUCCCUGGAACAGCAGCCACGAGGAUGUCCACAGGAU